rnacentral:rRNA from 1 species
CCCUCCCUCUUUCUUCAUGCCUAACACAUGCAAGUCGAACGAUUGCCUUCGGGUGAUAGUGGCGCACGGGUGCGUAACGCGUGGGAAUCUGCCCUUAGGUUCGGAAUAACAGCUGGAAACGGCUGCUAAUACCGGAUGAUAUCGCGAGAUCAAAGAUUUAUCGCCUGAGGAUGAGCCCGCGUUGGAUUAGGUAGUUGGUGGGUUAAAGGCCUACCAAGCCGACGAUCCAUAGCUGGUCUGAGAGGAUGAUCAGCCACACUGGGACUGAGACACGGCCCAGACUCCUACGGGAGGCAGCAGUGGGGAAUAUUGGACAAUGGGCGCAAGCCUGAUCCAGCAAUGCCGCGUGAGUGAUGAAGGCCCUAGGGUUGUAAAGCUCUUUUACCCGGGAAGAUAAUGACGGUACCGGGAGAAUAAGCCCCGGCUAACUCCGUG